AUAAUGGGUCAGCGACUUAUAUUCUGUAGCAAGGUUAACCGAAUAGGGGAGCCGAAGGGAAACCGAGUCUUAACUGGGCGUUAAGUUGCAGGGUAUAGACCCGAAACCCGGUGAUCUAGCCAUGGGCAGGUUGAAGGUUGGGUAACACUAACUGGAGGACCGAACCGACUAAUGUUGAAAAAUUAGCGGAUGACUUGUGGCUGGGGGUGAAAGGCCAAUCAAACCGGGAGAUAGCUGGUUCUCCCCGAAAGCUAUUUAGGUAGCGCCUCGUGAAUUCAUCUCCGGGGGUAGAGCACUGUUUCGGCAAGGGGGUCAUCCCGACUUACCAACCCGAUGCAAACUGCGAAUACCGGAGAAUGUUAUCACGGGAGACACACGGCGGGUGCUAACGUCCGUCGUGAAGAGGGAAACAACCCAGACCGCCAGCUAAGGUCCCAAAGUCAUGGUUAAGUGGGAAACGAUGUGGGAAGGCCCAGACAGCCAGGAUGUUGGCUUAGAAGCAGCCAUCAUUUAAAGAAAGCGUAAUAGCUCACUGGUCGAGUCGGCCUGCGCGGAAGAUGUAACGGGGCUAAACCAUGCACCGAAGCUGCGGCAGCGACACUAUGUGUUGUUGGGUAGGGGAGCGUUCUGUAAGCCUGUGAAGGUGUACUGUGAGGUAUGCUGGAGGUAUCAGAAGUGCGAAUGCUGACAUAAGUAACGAUAAAGCGGGUGAAAAGCCCGCUCGCCGGAAGACCAAGGGUUCCUGUCCAACGUUAAUCGGGGCAGGGUGAGUCGACCCCUAAGGCGAGGCCGAAAGGCGUAGUCGAUGGGAAACAGGUUAAUAUUCCUGUACUUGGUGUUACUGCGAAGGGGGGACGGAGAAGGCUAUGUUGGCCGGGCGACGGUUGUCCCGGUUUAAGCGUGUAGGCUGGUUUUCCAGGCAAAUCCGGAAAAUCAAGGCUGAGGCGUGAUGACGAGGCACUACGGUGCUGAAGCAACAAAUGCCCUGCUUCCAGGAAAAGCCUCUAAGCAUCAGGUAACAUCAAAUCGUACCCCAAACCGACACAGGUGGUCAGGUAGAGAAUACCAAGGCGCUUGAGAGAACUCGGGUGAAGGAACUAGGCAAAAUGGUGCCGUAACUUCGGGAGAAGGCACGCUGAUAUGUAGGUGAAGCGACUUGCUCGUGGAGCUGAAAUCAGUCGAAGAUACCAGCUGGCUGCAACUGUUUAUUAAAAACACAGCACUGUGCAAA
rnacentral:rRNA from 1 species